AUGAACGCUAGCUACAGGCUAACACAUGCAAGUCGAGGGGCAGCAGGGCAAUAGCUUGCUAUUGCUGCUGGCGACCGGCGCACGGGUGAGUAACGCGUAUCCAACCUACCCCGCGGUCAGGGACAGCCCGGCGAAAGUCGGAUUAAUACCUGAUGCAGUCAGAAGAGGGCAUCUGAUUUUGACGAAAGAUUGAUCGCCUCGGGAUGGGGAUGCGUAGGAUUAGGCAGGCGGCGGGGUAACGGCCACCGCGCCGACGAUCCUUAGGGUUCUGAGAGGAAGGUCCCCCACACUGGUACUGAGACACGGACCAGACUCCUACGGGAGGCAGCAGUGAGGAAUAUUGGUCAAUGGGCGCGAGCCUGAACCAGCCAAGUAGCCGUGCAGGACGACGGCCCUAUGGGUUGUAAACUGCUUUUAUGCGGGGAUAAAGUGCGGCACGUGUGCCGUUUUGUAGGUACCGCAUGAAUAAGGACCGGCUAAUUCCGUGCCAGCAGCCGC
rnacentral:rRNA from 1 species